GUGCUUGCUUUGGCAGCACAUAUACUAAAAUUGGAUCGAUACAGAGAAGAUUAGCAUGGCCCCUGCGAAAGGA
rnacentral:snRNA from 8 species